rnacentral:rRNA from 1 species
UACGUAGGGGGCUAGCGUUGUCCGGAAUCAUUGGGCGUAAAGCGCGCGUAGGCGACCCGGUAAGUCCGCUGUGAAAGUCCAGGGCUCAACCCUGGAAAGCCGGUGGAUACUGCCGGGCUAGAGUCCGGAAGAGGCGAGUGGAAUUCCUGGUGUAGCGGUGGAAUGCGCAGAUAUCAGGAGGAACACCAAUGGCGAAGGCAGCUCGCUGGGACGGUACUGACGCUGAGGCGCGAAAGCGUGGGGAGCGAACAGG